rnacentral:rRNA from 1 species
UACGGGGGGGGCAAGCGUUGUUCGGAAUUACUGGGCGUAAAGGGCUCGUAGGCGGCCAACUAAGUCAGACGUGAAAUCCCUCGGCUUAACCGGGGAACUGCGUCUGAUACUGGAUGGCUUGAAUCCGGGAGAGGGAUGCGGAAUUCCAGGUGUAGCGGUGAAAUGCGUAGAUAUCGGGAGGAACACCGGUGGCGAAGGCGGGUCUCUGGGCAAUUCCUGACGCUGAGGCGCGAAAGCGUGGGGAGCAAACGGG